AAGAUUGCCCCCGAGGGGGCCUUGUUUUCCCGGCAAUCGAAUCCUUCGUGCUCUUCAUGCGCGGAUCGUGCAAUUCAAAAUCAGGGAGGAGAAGAACGAAGGGAAGGAUUGUCUUCCACCUCUGAAAUUAGGGGUUGAUUUUGUGGUGAGAACGAAGAAAGGAGUUCCAUCUCAGGUGCGAUCCUUCUUCUUUUUCUGGGAGAGACCGAACCGGUUCGAUCUCUCUCGGACAGUCAGAUCUCCCCACGGGAGGGGAGAUGGAGAGCAACGGGAUGAGUCUGGGGAGUUCGCUGAGGCACGAGAGGAGGUGGCGAUCCCACGCCAGAUCAUCGUCCUCCUCCUUUGGUUCCAGCAGAUCCCUCAUCGUCAUGGCCUUCUUCUCCUGCCUCGCCUCCCUCUACAUCGCCGGACGGUUAUGGCAGGACGCUGAGAACAGGAUGCUUUUGGUUAGCAUUCUUCAGAAGAGCAGCGACCAGGUCCCAAAGGUUCUUUCUGUAGAAGAUAAACUAGAGAACCUCGGAUGCAAAGAUCUGGCGAGAAGAAUUGUAGAAGUCGAGAUGGACUUGACGCUGGCAAGGAGUCAAGGGUACCUUAUGAAUAAGUUAGGGAAUGGAUCUUCAUCUGGCCGGAAGUACCUUGCCGUUAUAGGAAUUUUCACAGGCUUUGGGAGUCGCCUGAGCAGGAAAAGGAUUCGGAAUAGUUGGCUUCCAAAAGGUGAUGCCCUGAGAGAACUUACGGAAAAAGGUGUUAUCAUUCGUUUUGUGAUCGGAAGAAGUGCAAACCGUGGCGACAGCUUAGAUCGUAGUAUUGAUGAUGAGUCUCGUCAAACAAAGGAUUUCUUGAUUCUAGAAGGUCACGAGGAAGUUCAAGAAGAAUUGCCUAAGAAAGCCAAGUUCUUUUUCAGUUCAGCGGUUGAAAUGUGGGAUGCUGACUUCUAUGUUAAGCUCGAUGAGAAUGUUAACAUUGACCUGGAUGGACUCAUUGGGAUUCUUCAAAGUCAUCGUGGUCAAGAUGGUGCUUAUGUAGGGUGUAUGAAAUCUGGGCCAGUCGUUAGUGAAGAGGGAAAACCGUGGUAUGAGCCUAAUUGGUGGAAGUUUGGUGAUGGGAAAUCGUAUUUUCGUCAUGCAGCUGGGUCACUAUAUUUCCUUUCAAAAAACCUAGCUCGAUAUAUCAAUAUAAACAGUGCUUCACUGCAGACAUAUGCUCAUGAGGACAUUUCGGUGAGUUCAUGGAUUAUGGGCCUAACAGCAACUUUUGUUGAUGACACUCGUCUUUGCUGUAGCAGUUCAUCAAAAGAGAAGAUAUGCUCAUUGACUUGAAGAGUUCAUAUGGGCUCUUCAUGGUCUAGAAUGCAACUCCAUCUAUUCUCCAUUGUGUGAAUGCUCAUAUUGCUAACAUGAGCAUAUACAGCCGCUGACUGCUGAAAUCAGUUUUUUGCCAAGGAAAACCCAUUUUUCAAUGGGGUAGAAGGGAGCAACAUGGCGGAAAAUUCAAGAUAUAUUGAUCAGUUACCAGACUCAAAGUCCAUGGGCAGCCUUUUGGAAGAGUUGCUGAUCACCUGCCAAAAUUCCAACUUAUGAAUUUUGGGUAUGUAUUGGAAUUUUGAAAACUAUUGGCGAGCAAAACAAGGUGUAGGUGUUAGCCGACACGUUCGCACAUUUGCCAUCAUGAUGAAUGAAGAUGGAAAGACCUAAGAACGGAUGGUAGUGAAGACCUGGACUCGCACCAACCGGCUAAGGAUUGUCUUGCCUUCCUUUUUUGUCUAUUUUUUGAGCUGUGGGGACUUUGGUUUUCCUCAUCUUUUCAUCAUGCUACAAUGGAGGACACAGUGACAACACAGUAAAGUGUGACAAAAGGCUAUAGUGUAGCUGGUUAGGUUAGGGGUCUGUGAAGAAGGAGGUUUUUAGUUCGAUUCUAGUAAGUACUAUAUAUUUUUAAUGGUGGGACGUAGUAACUAAGUUGAAUGAUGCACCGCCUUGACUGGCCAAAAGAAAAAAAGAAGAAAGAGCAGACAGAAAGGAUUAUUGGCAGCACAUUUGCUUUCAGUCUCCGUGGGAGACUAUUACAUUGAAGGCCACUGAUAAUGUACUUUCUCAACAAUGCCUGGGGCAGGGCAUGAAAGUCCGGACACAAAUCUGUCACG